rnacentral:lncRNA from 1 species
CGGCCCGCCCCCCCGGCACCGAGGCGGGACCGGGCUCUGCCGCCGCAUCCCCGCCGCACCGGCAGCGCAGAGCCGGCUCCGUUCCGCUCGCCACCAUGUCCCUGUGCAGGGCCGCCUCGCAGGCGCUGGCCGCCCGCCUGAGCAGGGCUCCCGCCGCCGCCAGCCGCCUCAAGCAGCGUGCGCCUCCUCGCCAGAUGUCAUCUGGGAGCGUUCCUGGCUCUUCUAGAGACAGCAUGAUGAUCUAUCUCCUUGCUGGUGUUGCUGCUUUUGGUGGUUUAUUUUAUGCCUACAGAGUAGUCAGUUCACCCCGCAGCAAGUUUGUUGAAGAUACAAAUAUUCUUCGUGAGAGAGCCGAUGAGCAGAAAAGCAAUCCUUGGUCAAGAAAGGACACAAGGGAAAUCUCUUUCCAAACCUGAGGAAGUUAAAUACAAACAAAGGACAAUCGUUUACCAUUGAGUACAUUGCAGCCUACCUUGGGAUGACUUUGUACCUUCUAUUGUAAAACUCCAUUUGUGUGAGACUUUUAAAGAACUACCUAUGUUUGCAAGGCCAAACCAUAUUGAGCUUAUUACUGAAUCUGCUUUGUAGAAGGCAGUUCUGAGAUGGAGAAGCUGGCUGUUCUGAAUGAAUGCACUGGAUAUUUGACUGUCCAAUAAAGUGUACUGAAUGCUGAUCUUGGCUGUUAGC